GGGACGUGAGAAAUCCAUUUUGUGUCACAGCAAUACCAUUUGGUGUCAUUGGAGGCAUCGGGUAACCAUUUGGCGAAAUUGGCAUACCAUUCGUAGAAGCCAAAAAUCCAUUUGGAGAGACAGGGUAGCCAUUAGGAACCACCCAAGGUUGGCCAGGUACAAACUCAGCUGCAUGUGGAUUCAUUAUUCUCGGAGGACUGUAAUGGUUCCCUUCUCCAGAAUGUUCACUGCUGUGGUAGCUAGACUUGUUUCGUGGAACCCGAUUU
rnacentral:lncRNA from 1 species